AGGAUGAACGCUGGCGGCGUGCUUAACACAUGCAAGUCAAGGGGGCUCAGCAAUGGGCAACCGGCGAACGGGUGCGUAACACGUGAGCAACCUACCUAGGUGUGGGGGGAUAGCCGGCCCAACGGCCGGGUAAUACCGCAUACGCUCUUCUUUAGGCAUUUAGAGGAGAGGAAACCUUCGGGGCACUAUGAGGGGCUCGCGGCCUAUCAGCUAGUUGGCGAGGUAAUGGCUCACCAAGGCGACGACGGGUAGC
rnacentral:rRNA from 1 species